rnacentral:lncRNA from 1 species
CCCGGUAUGGGGAAAGUUUAAGGCGGAAGAGCCCUCGUUUGUCGGCUGCUUGGGAAGUCUGAGGAUUACUGGGACUAACAGGACUUCAGCUGGGGCUUCAACGUGUGGUGUGGGCUUCCUGACACCACGGCCACUGGUUUCCAAGAGUUUCAACAAUAUUUUCAUCAUAUUUAUUGAAGGCCUCACUGACAGACUUCUCAAGGCCCCUCUACCUUCUAUUCGCUGCCUGGCCCCAAAGCCAGUGCCACACAUUUUAGGUUUUUAACUGCAGCAGCACCUAUGAUGUUUCCAAAAUCUGUAUCAUUAAAGUUUGAUCAGAGAAGCAAAACCACCUUGAGCAAAACAAGGAAUUUAUUAAAGAGAUUAGGAUACACAUUGUUAUGAAAGCUGCAACCUGCUGCCCCUGUGUCCAGAAGUGGGCCUGAAGUCAGCAGGGCUGGCAAAUGGAUGUGCAGUGGGAGAGAGUAGGCGUGAGCUGCACCUGCAGGGAGGAGAUGGAACUCCUGUGGAUGGACUGAAACUGAUGUCUUCCACGUCAGCCUCUCAGGCCUCCAACACUCCAGCGCUGAUGAUGAAGAUGACCUGCAGAGGAGCUGGUGCCCUUCACCAUGGAAUUGCUCAUAAACCCAAGAUUCAGUGAAGCUGAAGAAGCAGUUCUGGUGGGAGCUGGAGGAACUGCAGGCACAGCUGCUGCCCUGUACCAAUACAUUGAGCCAGUGGCUGCCUGGCAUUGUGUGUGAGCCACCACAGCGCCUGGCCCUACACAGACUUUGACUGUAAAUAUGACUGCUGUUUCACUUCUGCCUUCCAAAUUUUGCUCAGAUUUUCUGAGAAACAUAGUUCAGCUUAGGUACAUUGACACAGUACAAAGCCACCGCAGUGGCUGGUUAGGGAGGGAUUAUGAAUGCAGGCUGAGAAUGCACGGGAAGCGUUUGUCUAUUUAUAGAGUAGGUACCAUUCAAGGAUUUAUGUGAAUCAGGUGCAAAGAACUCACACAAAGAUGGGGAAAGUUAGUACUUAGAAAUCAGUGAUACUAGAUAACCAAUAAAUAAAAAUAAACUUAUUUUUAGAAAAUAAGAAAAUAGAAAAGCUUUAAUAAAAUAGUAUUGGGCCGGGUGCAGUGGCUCACGCCUGUAAUCCUAGCACUUUGGGAGACUGAGGUGGGCGGAUCACCUGAGGUCAGGAGUUCCAGACCAGCCUGGCCAACAUGGUGAAACCCAAUCUCUACUAGAAAAAACCACAAAAAUUAGCUGGGCGUGGUGGUACGUGCCUGUAAUCCUAGCUCCUCGGGAAGCUGAGGCAGG